AUUGAACGCUGGCGGCAGGCCUAACACAUGCAAGUCGAACGGUAACAGGAAGAAGCUUGCUUCUUUGCUGACGAGUGGCGGACGGGUGAGUAAUGUCUGGGAAACUGCCUGAUGGAGGGGGAUAACUACUGGAAACGGUAGCUAAUACCGCAUAACGUCGCAAGACCAAAGAGGGGGACCUUCGGGCCUCUUGCCAUCGGAUGUGCCCAGAUGGGAUUAGCUAGUAGGUGGGGUAACGGCUCACCUAGGCGACGAUCCCUAGCUGGUCUGAGAGGAUGACCAGCCACACUGGAACUGAGACACGGUCCAGACUCCUACGGGAGGCAGCAGUGGGUAAUAUUGCACAAUGGGCGCAAGCCUGAUGCAGCCAUGCCGCGUGUAUGAAGAAGGCCUUCGGGUUGUAAAGUACUUUCAGCGGGGAGGAAGGGAGUAAAGUUAAUACCUUUGCUCAUUGACGUUACCCGCAGAAGAAGCACCGGCUAACUCCGUG
rnacentral:rRNA from 1 species